ensembl:snoRNA SNORA70 Small nucleolar RNA SNORA70
CUAGAAAAAUUGAAGAUUUGGCCACUCUGGAAACUGCUGAGGGCCCCAUGUGUAAUGGCUGCAAACAGCUUCCUUUGUUGUGUAGACAGCCUGAGUUUUUCUCUAAGGGACUAUGGAGACAGCC